UACGGAGGGUGCGAGCGUUGUCCGGAAUCACUGGGCUUACAGGGUGCGUAGGCGGCUUGUUAAGUAGGGUGUGAAAGCCCCCGGCUCAACCGGGGAAUUGCGCCCUAAACUGGCGAGCUGGAGUGAGAUAGGGGUGUGUGGAACUUCCGGUGGAGCGGUGAAAUGUGUUGAUAUCGGAAGGAACGCCGGUGGCGAAAGCGACACACUGGAUCUUGUCUGACGCUGAGGCACGAAAGCC
rnacentral:rRNA from 1 species